AUGAACGCUGGCGGCGUGCCUAAUACAUGCCGGUCGAGCGAACAGACGAGGAGCUUGCUCCUCUGACGUUAGCGGCGGACGGGUGAGUAACACGUGGAUAACCUACCUAUAAGACUGGGAUAACUUCGGGAAACCGGAGCUAAUACCGGAUAAUAUAUUGAACCGCAUGGUUCAAUAGUGAAAGACGGUUUUGCUGUCACUUAUAGAUGGAUCCGCGCCGCAUUAGCUAGUUGGUAAGGUAACGGCUUACCAAGGCGACGAUGCGUAGCCGACCUGAGAGGGUGAUCGACCACACUGGAACUGAGACACGGUCCAGACUCCUACGGGAGGCAGCAGUAGGGAAUCUUCCGCAAUGGGCGAAAGCCUGACGGAGCAACGCCGCGUGAGUGAUGAAGGUCUUCGGAUCGUAAAACUCUGUUAUUAGGGAAGAACAAAUGUGUAAGUAACUAUGCACGUCUUGACGGUACCUAAUCAGAAAGCCACGGCUAACUACGUG
rnacentral:rRNA from 1 species